GUUGAUUUAGUUUAUAAAAAAUGUUGUUUUGUGGAGGCAAAGAAAAUAGAAAUUAAUCAAUU
rnacentral:tRNA from 1 species